rnacentral:rRNA from 1 species
AUUGAACGCUGGCGGCAUGCCUUACACAUGCAAGUCGAACGGUAACGGGCCUUCGGGUGCCGACGAGUGGCGAACGGGUGAGUAAUGCAUCGGAACGUACCUUUCAGUGGGGGAUAACGUAGCGAAAGUUACGCUAAUACCGCAUAUUCUGUGAGCAGGAAAGCAGGGGAUCGCAAGACCUUGCGCUGAUUGAUCGGCCGAUGUCAGAUUAGCUAGUUGGUGAGGUAAAGGCUCACCAGGGCGACGAUCUGUAGCGGGUCUGAGAGGAUGAUCCGCCACAUUGGGACUGAGACACGGCCCAGACUCCUACGGGAGGCAGCAGUGGGGAAUUUUGGACAAUGGGGGCAACCCUGAUCCAGCCAUGCCGCGUGAGUGAAGAAGGCCUUCGGGUUGUAAAGCUCUUUCGGCCGGGAAGAAAUCGCACAGGCUAAUACCUUGUGUGGAUGACGGUACCGGAAUAAGAAGCACCGGCUAACUACGUGCCAGCCGCCGCCGUAACAC